UUAGCGGCUGAGGCUAGUGAUUAUAUGUGAGAUCAUAUUAUUUGGGUCCUAGUUUGGAGGACCAACUUUUAAACAAUGCAGAAACUUGUGCUAAACAUGGAGACUAUGCCCACGAAGAAAUUACUAGAAGCGCCUAAUAUGAUAGUACAUGAGGCAGGAACCAAAUUCAUACCGACAGAGUAAAAAGGGGGGGUGUGAUGAUUACUUAACAUAUGUGGUCGGUCGCGGUUUGCAAGGUCCUCCAAAGGCCAUGAUCAAUCUCUCCCCUCUUGCGUGCUGUCUUGCCAACCAACAAACCAAACAUAUAAAUAUUGAUGAAUGAGAAGAUGAUAAUUUCCAACCGGUAGCAUGCCUUUAGUUUUAUGAGAUGAGAUGUAACAACCUACCAUAUUCAUAUAGAAACAUGAGCAAGGCAACUAGAAAUAGAUUAGGCAUGAGCUGCAAUAAUAAAACACCACUUGCUGAAUUCGGCAUGAAAGUCGGACAGACAGUACAAGAGCUUGCACAUCCACACAUCUUCAUGGAGCACAAAUUUCUUCACAUCACAUACGGGCACUACAUUCAACAUCAACUCGUAUUAUUAACUGGGUUGCUGAUAAACAUCAUCAGUCAAAGUAGGUCCUUGCCGUGCCAUCCUUGACUCCAAAGACCUCCAUGACUCCAAAGACGCCAAGCAAUAUUCAGGGAAACAAAUUAUUAGAAGCAAUCUGCAGAAAUGUUCAACUAAAAUGGAGUAAAGCUUAACCAAACAGGUUCAGAGUGGGUGGGUGGGAUACUUACAAUGAGAUGAGAUGAGAUGAGAUGAGAUGAGAUGAGAUGAGAUGAGAUGAGAUGAGAUGAGACCGCCGAGAUUGUUGUAAAAGUAAACAGAGAUUGCAGCAAAUCUGAUAGGGAUAUUGACCCGAAAACAGCAGAGCAAAUUAUAACUCAUUUUCUGUGGGAGCAAAUUAUACCACAUGAAUGAAUCAAAUCAAAUCAAAUCAAAAGAAGAAAACAGGUCUAAGCACCCUGAUCUGCAACAAACAAGCCAAGGGAUCUGCUCUGCUUGGGCAAUGAAGAUGUUCCAAACUAAUCAACGAGAAAGUUGGAAAAGAAGGGGGAAAAAAGUGCAUAAUCAACGAGAAACAUGCCUAAUAAGACGGUAAUAUUAUAUUACUAGUAGUACAUCUAAGGCACAGCGAAUUGCAAGCCAUAUGACAAGAAGAAUCGUCGCCAUACAUAUGACAAGAGUAAAAACGGAAUUCAGAACUGAGAGGGCCAAGAUUUAAUAAACGAGCAUGCAAGAUGGCGCCUGCACAAGCUAGAUCCGUUGUUUCUGCCUGCGCAUGGAUAAAUCAAAUCAAAAGAAGAAAACAGAUGUGCAUCUUGCAUGCGAUUUGCGGCCAAGGAUUUGUAGAUCUGAGAAACAGAAACCGCCGCAAAAACCAAAAAAAGAAGAAGCUCGCUCUCAUCCUCGCCGGCCGGCCGGCUACCCCUGCAACGGCCCAGCUUCCGGCGACCGGCCUCAUCAUCACGGAUGCGGCGCCGACCCCGUGAAUCCGUGAAUCCCUGGACAGGCGCGCCGAUGGAUGCAGUCCGGUAGUAUCACUGGGCAGAGGGAUGAAGGAAGGCUUCCCUCGGAGCCAUGGCGGCUAGGCUAGGCUAGGGUUUGCUUCUGGGAUGAGGAAGGGGCUCUCUGCUUCUGCUUCUGCUUCUGCGCAAGGGGAGGGGAGGAGACGAGAAGAGAGGAGAGGCUCGGAGCCGAGUACGUAAGCACCUUUCACG
rnacentral:lncRNA from 1 species